rnacentral:pre_miRNA from 1 species
GAGGGGAGCGCGGGAUCCUGGGCUGUGACCCCCAACACCCUGGGAUCCGGGUCCUGCGCCGCUGGAAUCGUGCUCCCGGCCGCAGCCCCCU